CUUCAGCGAACCGAGCCAGAGCGGCUGUUCUUCCGGCCGGUCCUGUCCGUACGUGGCGAGCAGCGCCUCCGCCUC
rnacentral:antisense_RNA from 2 species